UUCCGUAAUGGACAAGGCACAGGACAUUCUCUAAAUGAUUGCUUUCUUGAUUCCAGCAAACUUGAUAUCAAAUAACUGUUUUUAUCAUAGAGAGAAAUCAUCAACAUGCAGUAACAAUCCUUCUGAUUUGACAAGUGCUUCAGCUGUUGUUGCAGGAAAACAAGUAUGUAAAAUUAUACCUGAGAAAGAAAAAACUCCAGAUGUAACACUUCACACUUUCUGUUUCUUACCUCCAAAAUCAAAGAGGAAGCUUGAUGCUCAAAUUGCUAAACCCAAAAACUUGAAAUGCAAGAAAAAGGUAAAAUUCAGUGAGCAGGUAAAAGGGGGGAUGUUUUUGUCCUAUCAUCUUGAAUCUGCUGUGGAACACAUCAAAACUGAAGCUGUGAGAUUGACAGAAG
rnacentral:lncRNA from 1 species